rnacentral:rRNA from 1 species
ACUCAAAGGAAUUGACGGGGACCCACACAAGCGGUGGAGCAUGCGGUUUAAUUCGAUACUAAACGAAGGACCUUACCCAGGCUUGACAUUCACGGAACCCGCCGGAAACGGUGGGGUGCCCGCAAGGGAACCGUGAAACAGGUGCUGCAUGGUCGUCGUCAGCUCGUGUCGUGAGAUGUUGGGUUAAGUCCCGCAACGAGCGCAACCCUCGUCGUUAGUUGUAUUUCUCUAACGAGACUGCCCGGUAUAACUGGGAGGAAGGUGGGGAUGACGUCAGAUCAGCAUGGCCCUUACGCCUGGGGCCACACGCGUGCUACAAUGGCAAGGACAAUGGGCAGCAAACCCGCAAGGGGAAGCCAAUCCCUCAAAACUUGCCUCAGUUCGGAUUGAAGGCUGCAACUCGCCUUCAUGAAGUUGGAAUCGCUAGUAACCGCCGGUCAGCCAUACGGCGGUGAAUAUGUUCCUGGGUCUUGUACACACCGCCCGU